rnacentral:rRNA from 1 species
GAUGAACGCUGGCGGCGUGCCUAAUACAUGCAAGUCGAGCGAACAGACGAGGCGCUUGCUGCGUUGUCGUUAGCGGCGGACGGGUGUGUCACACGUGGAUAACCUACCUAUAAUACUGGGAUAACUUCGGGACACCGGCGCUAAUCCCGGAUAAUAUAUUGAACCGUAGUGUUCAAUAGUGAAUGACGGUUUUGCUGUCUCUUCUAGAGGGAUACGCGCCGUAUUAGCUAGUUGGUAAGGUAACGGCUUACCAAGGCGACGAUGCGUAGCCGACCGGAGAGGGUGGUCGGCCACACUGGAACUGAGCCAGGGUCAAGACUCCUGCGGGAGGCAGCAGUAGGGAAUGUGCCGCAAUGGGCGAAAGCCUGACGGAGCAACGCGGAGUGAGUGAUAAAGGUCUUCGGAUCGUAAAGCUCUGUUAUUAGGGAAGAACAAAUGUGGAAGUAACUAAGCACGGCUUGACGGUACCUAAUCAGAAAGCCACGGCUAACUACGUG